GCCCAAGUGGCGGAAUUGGCAGACGCGCUAGAUUCAGGGUCUAGUGGCCGCAAGGUCGUGGAGGUUCGAGUCCUCUCUUGGGCA
rfam:Acidobacteria bacterium 13_1_40CM_4_61_5 13_1_40cm_4_scaffold_2472, whole genome shotgun sequence.